rnacentral:rRNA from 1 species
AUGAGAUCACUUGCUAUGAAGCUAGGUGUUACAGUCAGACGUAAUGUCAACAACAUGAAUGCAUUCUUUGGAGGACCGAUGGUUGCUAUAGCGUCUGAUAUUGUGUGGGUUAUGAAUAUUGUUCCUGAUAAAAAAAAACUGUGGUCACUUGGAGUAAUAUAUGACAUGGGCCUGAUUGGAGUUUAUCAUGACUGGUAA